GUAAUCCCUUUUACAGUAAGCACGAAGGAUGGAUAACCGUUCUGUCCGCGCAAGCGGACUAAGCUCUUGUAGUUAAAAAAUUUGGCUAUAUGCUGGAACCUCUCUUAAAUUCCAACGAGAAAUCGGUUGGACUAUGGAGACAAUCAGCAGGAAAGAAUUGGAGGUAUUGAUAGUGAAAAAAACGUGCAAAAAAAGAUACUGGUUACAUGUAUCACAUUGUAUUGAAAAUCAACAAGUCAACCGGACAAGAAUUAUUUAUAGAAGUUCGGAUGAAGCAGCUAAAAAGGAACUGAUUCAAAUACACGAUACAGAUAAUACCGCACAUGAAGGAUUUGUGACUCGCGAAUGCGGUAACCAAGUAGUAGGCGAGUUUUGUAAGUACGUCUAAUUUUCCUCAACGACUAUACGCCAAACGCCAAUUGAUAUCGGGGUAAUGAGGCCCAAUCGGGUGCCCCAUUCAUAUUUUAUGGCGAUGAUAUAGUCUGACCCGUAUGGCGACAUACGG
rnacentral:ncRNA from 1 species